GGCGGCGUGCUUAACACAUGCAAGUCGAACGAAAAGACGGAAAGAGCUUGCUCUUUCCGGAAUUGAGUGGCAAACGGGUGAGUAACACGUAAACAACCUGCCUUCAGGAUGGGGACAACAGACGGAAACGACUGCUAAUACCGAAUAAGUUCCAAGGGCCGCAUGGCCCAUGGAAGAAAAGGUGGCCUCUACCUGUAAGCUAUCGCCUGAAGAGGGGUUUGCGUCUGAUUAGCUGGUUGGAGGGGUAACGGCCCACCAAGGCGACGAUCAGUAGCCGGUCUGAGAGGAUGAACGGCCACACUGGAACUGAGACACGGUCCAGACUCCUACGGGAGGCAGCAGUGGGGAAUCUUCCGCAAUGGGCGAAAGCCUGACGGAGCAAACGCCGCGUGAGUGAUGACGGCCUUUCGGGUUGUAAAAACUUCUG
rnacentral:rRNA from 1 species